UACGGAGGGUGCAAGCGUUAUCCGGAUUCACUGGGUUUAAAGGGUGCGUAGGUGGGCAGGUAAGUCAGUGGUGAAAUCUCCGGGCUUAACCCGGAAACUGCCGUUGAUACUAUUUGUCUUGAAUAUAGUGGAGGUGAGCGGAAUAUGUCAUGUAGCGGUGAAAUGCUUAGAUAUGACAUAGAACAUCGAUUGCGAAGGCAGCUCGCUACACUAUUAUUGACACUGAGGCACGAAAGCGUGGGGAUCAAACAGGAUUAGAUACCC
rnacentral:rRNA from 1 species